CGUUGUUCGGAAUUACUGGGCGUAAAGGGCUCGUAGGCGGCCAACUAAGUCGGAUGUGAAAUCCCCAGGCUUAACCUGGGAACUGCAUCCGAUACUGGAUGGCUUGAAUCCGGGAGAGGGAUGCAGAAUUCCAGGUGUAGCGGUGAAAUGCGUAGAUAUCUGGAGGAAUACCGGUGGCGAAGGCGGCAGCCUGGACCGGCAUUGACGCUGAGGAGCGAAAGCUAGGGGAGCAAACGGG
rnacentral:rRNA from 1 species